rnacentral:rRNA from 1 species
CUACGGGAGGCUGCAGUCGAGAAUAGUCUACAAUGGACGAAAGUCUGAUAGUGCGACGCCGCGUGGAUGAAGACGCAUUUCGGUGUGUAAAGUCCUUUUCUGUGUGAGCAAUGUUUUCCAGGUUAAUAGCUUGGAGAAAGCGAUAUUAACACAGGAAUAAGCUCCGGCUAACUCCGUGCCAGCAGCCGCGGUAACACGGGGGGAGCAAGCGUUGUCCGGAAUUACUAGGCGUAAAGGGUAAGUAGGCGGAAUUGUAAGUCAGAUGUUAAAGGCACCGGCUCAACCGGUGUAUGGCAUUUGAUACUGUAAUUCUAGAGUAAGGUGGGGGAAGACGGAAUUCCUGGUGUAGCGGUGGAAUGCGCAGAUAUCAAGAGGAACACCAGAGGCGCAGGCGGUCUUCUAUACCAUUACUGACGCUCAAUUACGAAGGUGUGGGUAUCAAACAGGAUUAGAUACCCCAGUAGUC